CACCAUUUCAACAACGGAUCUUUUGGCUCUCGCAUCGAUGAAGAACGUAGCGAGUGCGAUUAAGUAGUGUGAAUUGCACAACUCCGUAAUCCAUCCGAAUUUUGAACGCAAAUGCCUCUCUGGCAUCCCGGGGAGUAUGCCUGCUUUGAGGGUCAGU
rnacentral:rRNA from 1 species